UACCUACGGGACGCAGCAGUGAGGAAUAUUGGUCAAUGGACGAGAGUCUGAACCAGCCAAGUAGCGUGAAGGAUGACUGCCCUAUGGGUUGUAAACUUCUUUUCUCUGGGAAUACCUUUUUCCACGUGUGGAAUUUUGUAUGUACCAUAUGAAUAAGGAUCGGCUCACUCCGUGCCAGCAGCCGCGGUAAUACGGAGGAUCCGAGCGUUAUCCGUAUUUAUUGGGUUUAAAG
rnacentral:rRNA from 1 species